rnacentral:SRP_RNA from 1 species
UAGCAGGGCCGAAUCCCUUCUCGAGGUUCGUUUACUUUAAGGCCUGCCUUAAGUAAGUGGUGUUGACGUUUGGGUCCUGCGCAAUGGGAAUUCAUGAACCAUGUCAGGUCCGGAAGGAAGCAGCAUUAAGUGAAACCUCUCAUGUGCCGCAGGGUUGCCUGGGCCGAGCUAACUGCUUAAGUAACGCUUAGGGUAGCGAAUCGACAGAAGGUGCACGG